GUCACUCUCUGCCCCUCUUUAAUGCCCCUGCAGCACAUCUCUCACUAUCUAUCAUCUCAACGGCAUACGCUGCCUUUAAUCUACUUUCAAAGAACAUAAGGAACACGCGCAAGGUCAUUCUCUUCACACCCAUUCUCCCUGCAUUUCAGACGUGCUCAUGUAGGAUUAUUGCAAGUAGAGCCAUGGCAUCACCAACCAUAAGUAAUUCUCUUCGCCUUACCGACGUGCCUGCUGGAGAAUUGUAAGUAGAGCGAUGGCGUCACUGGGGUGAGCGUGAUUCUAAGGUAGAAUCGGAACCGAAGAACCAAACCGGCGGGACCAAUUCGGUUCCUGGUUCUAUGAGGGGCCGGGUAGGUUCUCGGUUCCAUUUUUUUAGGAACCGGAACCGGCGUAACUUGGGAACCGGGAACACCCAAACCCUGAAUUUGUCUUUCUCGUUUCUCUCUGUCAACAACAAGAAAAGGGAACCCAUUUCUCCUUCGUUCUUCCCCUUGGUCCAUUCUUGCUUCGCGACGCUGUGGUUCUUUCCACUUCUCUGUGGUUCUGUUCAUCUCGUCGUUCUUGACAUCUUGUUCCUCUCCGCGACGCUGUGGUUCUCGUUCGAAUCGUUUGCUAUCACCAACGCCGGCCGCGGCUCAGCGACCAUCAUCCAACAGCUGCGCAACAUCAUCACUCAGUUUUUUUGCUUUUGUAGGUUGAGGAGAACAUCGGCAAGUUCGCCAAGAAAGGUUUGACGCCAUCACAGAUUGGUGUCAUUCUUCGUGACUCUCACGGGAUUGCCCAAGUGAAGAGCAUCACGGGGAGCAAGAUUUUGCGUAUCCUCAAGGCUCACGAUUAUAGCAAUAUCUGAACAGGCAUCUGAGUACAUGGAAGAAUCCAAGAGCCCUGGAGAAAGCUCAAACCCUCUGGGCUAGAAAUCUUUCGACAUGCUUGCUGUUGUUGCUGCUACUGAGGAUCUUUGGCUAUUUAUCCUCUCUGAAAAGGGUUUGAGGGUGCGCAUUUCCUCCUCUGGGACAUAAUUAAAGCAGCAGACACCUUUCUACUGAAUCAAGUAGUAGGUUGCUCAUUGUUGUAUCAGAAGGUUGAAGCUGUACAAUAUUCAGACUCAGAGGCUUAGGCUACGCUAGCAAGGGUAACUCUCGGAUUUCGAUCUGUCGGUCAAGCGGUGAAUAUGGCCCCAAAAGUGUGGUCGGCCAUGUUUCUUUGAAUGAGAAAUACAUUAUCUAAGUGCAAGUUAAAUAGUCUCAAUUCCCAAGACAACAAUGGAGAUGGCAAUUUUAAAAAGGUACUUGUUUAGUAGUAUCCAUUAUCACUUUGUCAUUUGUAAAAUAUUCAACAUAGGUCUAACGUGGCAUGUGGCAUACUCAUUUUUGCUAGUAUCACCGUGUAGAAUGUUGGUUCACAUUCUAGAAUAUUAAAUGCUUACGAGUAUUAUAGAUUU